rnacentral:rRNA from 1 species
UACGUAGGGUGCGAGCGUUAAUCGGAAUUACUGGGCGUAAAGUGUGCGCAGGCGGCAAAGCAAGUCGAGUGUGAAAGCCCCGGGCUCAACCUGGGAAUUGCAUUCGAGACUGCGUAGCUAGGGUGCGGAAGAGGGAAGCGGAAUUUCCGGUGUAGCGGUGAAAUGCGUAGAUAUCGGAAGGAACACCAGUGGCGAAAGCGGCUUCCUGGUCCAGCACCGACGUUCAGGCACGAAAGCGUGGGGAGCAAACAGG